AACACAUCCUCACUCCCAACUCGUAACAUAUUGACGCUUGGUCAGGAGCCCUUUGCGUCAAUACUAUACGCACAGGGUACCCCUUUAGCGUUAUUUUUUGACGUCCUGGGUUUCCCAAUGACUUCUAUAGGAACGCCUGCGGCGUUGACAUUUGACGUGUUAAGCACGGGUAAAAUGAGAACAAAAAUAGGAAUAAAAUAAGCAUAAAAAUAAAGAAUUUGCUACAAUAAAUUAGUUAUGGCAGGGAUUGUCAUACUGUUUUUAAUGUGCUGCGAUUAUGUUUGGUUAUUCAAUGAUUAAUCAUUGCAAACGCAAUGCAAUGCAAUUAACAUUUUACACAUUUUUACAUUAUAUUUAUUUAAUUGUUUGUUUGUUUAUUUAUUUAUUGGUUGGUUGGUUGGUUGGUUUAUUGAUAGAUUUUUAUUUUAUUUUUUUUAUUAAUAAAUCCAACAAUUACUACCGCUGACGUCACUGUAAGGCGCGAUCCAUUGCGAUUUUACACUUGGUAAGUAGAACAGACAUCAAUAUAGACGGGAACAAUCCUUAAAUUUGCGUAGUAAUAAUCGUUCAAUCACGGUAAAAUUUUGUGUUUAGAACCUUUAGAAGUGUCUCACGGCAUUUCGUGAUUUGGUCACGAAAUUUAAUCUAUUUAUUCGUGGCAGGAACACGUUUAUUUCGUUAUUUUCGUAAUUCCAGCACGUUUUUUAAACUAAUGUAUUUCAAUUGGAUGGAUCUUUCGUGCAUAUAGCACGAUUUUUUCUGCCAGUCGGGCUGCAGUAGGGAAGCUAAACAUUUAUUCACAAGAUCUUAUCAAGACUGCAAUAUAUAAGAAUAAAUAGGAAUCGUCAACAAUUAACGAUCUAUGCCAGCGCAAGUCAAUAUUUAUCUGGUCAUUUUCAACUGGUUUUUAAUGUUAAAAGUCCCUCGCAGUCAACAGCUGUUUCCGGUGAGUUCUCAACUGCAGGAUCAAUAGCAUUCAGCAGUGAGUUUAACAACGCUCAAAUGUGGGUAAAAUAACAUUCAGAGAGGAGUUUUAUUAAAACAGCGUUCAACUGCAUGUAAGACAACCUUUUAGAGGUGAGUUUAACAACGCUCCACGGCGCGUGAGAUUAAGUAUUUUAAGCGUUUUCUGAUCAUGUAUUGCUUAUUAGACGUGAUGCAUGCUGGGUGUUAAAUAAUUUUUAUCAAAUGAUCGUUGAUGUUAAUAAAUAUAGAUCUAAAUAUACAUUUUACUUGUGUUCGAUUAAUUAAUAAGUUGUUUAAUUAUUAAUUUGUUUAUUUAAAGUCCUGUAAUAACUGUGACGUCAUCGAAUGAGACGAAGGUCCAUGGCUGUUUCAACUCGGAAGUUGAGAUGAAGUCAUGACAAGGCCCAUAUCUGGUAAGCAGGAAAACUUUCCAUGUCUGCUUUGCAAGCUUGUCCACCAAAAAAAGUCAGGUCACUGGAUAGCCAGUGGGGGAAAUCUGUCCUUAAAAGCAGAAAUGCUGGGCGUAUAAUUAAUUCUGCCUGUAUUGCAGUGCGGAAACUUGAGGCUGUCGGAUACAAGUCAAUUGUAUUUACUGGGAAACGGGAUAAAAAGGACCUGCCGGAGAGCCUCGCCGUGGAGCUGCCAGAGAGCAUCGUCAUGGAACGGCCGGAGAAUCUCAACAAGGAGUCUGAGGCUGUAUUUGCAUUAAAUCUUGUUCCUCUGUCCUCUAGACUCUCUCCAACCUCUCUUGCUCCUAUUACUUUUACAACUAUUUUCCUCCACUUUCUUUCCCACCUCCUCUGACAUGCUCACUAUCACGUCUUUGCCUUUUCAAACUAUACCAUGGCUUCAAACUAUACCAUAAAGCAGGGUGCCCCAAAUCUAACCCUGGAGGGCCGGAGCACUGCAGAGUUUAGCUCCAACCCUGAUCAAACAGACCUGAUCAAGGUCUUCAUGAUCACUAGAAAAUCACAGGUGGGUAAAAUUUAUUAGGGCUGGACCUAAACUCUGUAGUGCUCCGGGCCUCCAGGGUAAGAUUUUGGGAACCCUGGAAUAAAGGGUAACUUUUUUCCUAUUACAUCUUACUCCACAAUUUGCUCCUAGUCAAAUCUAUCUUCAUGUAUAUUGAAUUCAUUUACCUAACCAGGUAAUUGUUAGCCAGUUCACAGUGUUUUAGAGGCCAUUGUCCAAGGGCUGUGGUCAAUAUAAAUUCCUGACUUAAGCUAAGAGGUCUUUGGGAAUACCAACCCAAUACAUUUUGGUUGAUUGACAAAAACAAGCACAAAUUCAUUUGACACUACUGGAAAGAACUGUAUAUCACUUGACAUAAAUAGGGACUCAUGUGAUUGUUACAAAGCAUGGCAUUCAUGUCUUAUUAAAAUGUACUUUUUCUCUUCAUCAUUUCAGGUUGUCGAUAAAAUAACUGGGGAAUUGAUAAAUAAGGGGAAAGCUGAAUUGGAAGUUCACUGGUGACCGUGCUCUGUGUGUGGCAAAACCUGGGAUGACACAUGGGAGACCGCCAGCGAAUUCCAACACAAGUCCCACAUCCCAACCAGCUUUCAGCAUGACAGCCUACACCUUUUUAUUAUCAAGCACCUUUCAAUUGUUUUUGAUUGUCUUUGCUUGCUGUUCUUUAUUAAAGUUUUUGCACAGUA